rnacentral:lncRNA from 1 species
GAAAUUCAAAAAGUGGGUCCAAAAAUAACAUUAUAAAACCAGUUGGCCUCAUUACUCCAACAUUUAAGUUCAUAUUCGUGAAUCCAUAUAAUAGAGAAACUAGACACAUACAUGUAUAGAGAUGAUCAAGAUUUUCGGAUCGGCUUCUUGAUGAUGAUGAAUAAAAACCUAUAUACAUGCAAUUGACUUGAUCGUGACGUUGAAUAUAUGAAUAUAUCCCUAUAAG